rnacentral:piRNA from 2 species
GGGGCUGGAGAGAUGGCUCAGCGGUU